rnacentral:rRNA from 1 species
GAUGAACGCUGGCGGCGUGCCUAAUACAUGCAAGUCGAGCGAACAGAUGAGGAGCUUGCUCCUCUGACGUUAGCGGCGGACGGGUGAGUAACACGUGGAUAACCUACCUAUAAGACUGGGAUAACUUCGGGAAACCGGAGCUAAUACCGGAUAAUAUAUUGAACCGCAUGGUUCAAUAGUGAAAGACGGUUUUGCUGUCACUUAUAGGUGGAUCCGCGCCGCAUUAGCUAGUUGGUAAGGUAACGGCUUACCAAGGCAACGAUGCGUAGCCGACCUGAGAGGGUGAUCGGACACACUGGAACUGAGACACGGUCCAGACUCCUACGGGAGGCAGCAGUAGGGAAUCUUCCGCAAAGGGCGAAAGCCUGACGGGGCAACGCCGCGUGAGUGAUGAAGGUCUUCGGAUCGUAAAACUCUGUUAUUAGGGAAGAACAAAUGUGUAAGUAACUAUGCACGUCUUGACGGUACCUAAUCAGAAAGCCACGGCUAACUACGUG